rnacentral:lncRNA from 1 species
AUUACUCCAUGAAAACACUUACCCUCUAUUCACUUGCUGUUCCAUUGUUUUCUUUAGCACUCCACUCUUAAUUUAAAUUGACCUACCCACUAAUAGAAUUUAACUUAUUUCACUCAGCCUGUAAGAUACACCUGCAAUUCUCCCUUGCAUUUCCUCGGCAGGGUUGGAGAGCUUUCCACCUUUUUUCUGCCUUCCCCAGCUGUGCAUUCUCACCCUCCUCCCCGGGAGGUUGCUGCCCCACUUCAGCCCUGCUCCUCCCAUUGUUCUUCUAUCCCAGCUCUCAGCUGGAUCUGCCAAAUGAGCUAUUUAAACCCCUCCAACACUUAUGAGGAGGAAGAUUUUGUUUUGUUUUGCCUGGGACUAGAACACUUACCAGACUCAGUUUAGAAGUAGGGUUGAAUACUUUGGUCUGUGCGGCAGACAAGAAAUGGUGACACAGAUCACAGGCAGAAGGAUUCCCUGGUCUGGUUACUCUGACAUAAUCAGAAUGGACAAGAGGAAAUACCUGACCGAAGGAAACAGAUUGUCAAAAGUCCUUGAGCCAAGAUUAUUCAUUGCUUUGUGUUGCAAGCCAAAUGUGGGAUUCUGCAGGUUCAAAAUUGGAAAACUGCUGCCAGUCUCAUCCAGCUUUGGUUUAGUACAAUCUGCUCUCCAGGGUUUCUUGAGAAUAAAUUCCAGACACAAACCAUUCUUUGGAAGGAAAUAGUUGGUUACAGGCUCAUUUUGCACAGGAAGGGGAAGUACCCUCUGGGAUGAGUAAUAUGCAAAAUCAGGAGCAGAGGGAGUGCAGAAGUUAAAAGACUGAAGAAGACUUGGAGGAAAACCAGAAAAGAUAAGAUACAAACAGAAAGGUCUUUACUGUAUUGAACUUAAAGCCCUUCUGCUAAAAAAAGUAUGUUAAAAAUGCUUUUUUAGAGGAACAGAAGGAAAAUCCUUAAACUGCUUUUGAAUAGACAUAUUUAGAGCAAACAUCACUGUUUUCCCUCUACUUCGCACAGUGAACCUGCC